rnacentral:rRNA from 1 species
UACGUAGGCAGCGAGCGUUGUUCGGAGUUACUGGGCGUAAAGAGUGCGUAGGCGGUUUUCUAAGUUUGGUGUGAAAUCCCCCGGCUUAACCUGGGAACUGCGUCUGAUACUGGAAGGCUUGAGUAUGGGAGAGGGAUGUAGAAUUCCAGGUGUAGCGGUGAAAUGCGUAGAUAUCUGGAGGAAUACCGGUGGCGAAGGCGGCAUCCUGGACCAUUACUGACGCUGAGGCGCGAAAGCUAGGGGAGCAAACGGG